GUUGGACGUGGUGGUGCGCACCUGUAAUCCCAGCAUCUUGGGAGCCUGAGACAGGAGGAUUGCAAAUUCAAAGCCAGCCUCAGCAAAAGUGAGGUGCUAAGCAACUCAGUGAGACCCUGUCUCUA
rnacentral:sRNA from 1 species